AACGGCCGUACCAUGCUGAAUAUACGGGUUCUCGUUAGAUCACCGAAGUCAAGCAUCAUUGAACGAUGUCAGCACUUGAGUGGGUGACGACCUGGGAACACCGCGUGCCGUUU
rnacentral:rRNA from 1 species